rfam:Aspergillus glaucus CBS 516.65 unplaced genomic scaffold ASPGLscaffold_20, whole genome shotgun sequence.
CUCUCAAUCUACUACAAGCCUUUCAAAUCUUUUCAAGACUUUUCAGUCAAACCACUACCAACUUUUACAAUGUCUCCCUGCUCGUGCAACUGCUGCUCCGGCAACUGCAACUCUUGCUCUUGCGGCUCGUGCAAGGUAUGCCUUCUCUUCUCUAUC